rnacentral:rRNA from 1 species
UGCGAACUCCUACGGGAGGCAGCAGUGAGGAAUAUUGGUCAAUGGACGAGAGUCUGAACCAGCCAAGUAGCGUGCAGGACGACGGCCCUAUGGGUUGUAAACUGCUUUUAUAGGGGAAUAAAGUGAGCUACGUGUAGUUUAUUGCAUGUACCCUAUGAAUAAGGACCGGCUAAUUCCGUGCCAGCAGCCGCGGUAAUACGGAAGGUUCGGGCGUUAUCCGGAUUUAUUGGGUUUAAAGGGAGCGUAGGCCGUGGAUUAAGCGUGUUGUGAAAUGUAGAUGCUCAACAUCUGACUUGCAGCGCGAACUGGUUUACUAGAGUGUGCGCAACGUAGGCGGAAUUCGUCGUGUAGCGGUGAAAUGCUUAGAUAUGACGAAGAACUCCGAUUGCGAAGGCAGCUUACGGGAGCACAACUGACGCUGAAGCUCGAAGGUGCGGGUAUCAAACAGGAUUAGAUACCCUUGUAGUCCU